rnacentral:hammerhead_ribozyme from 1 species
AUCCAACUGUCGAGUCCUAAAUAGGACGAAACUCGCGUCCUGGAU